UGGGAUAACACCUGGAAACAGAUGCUAAUACCGGAUAACAACACUAGACGCAUGUCUAGAGUUUGAAAGAUGGUUCUGCUAUCACUCUUGGAUGGACCUGCGGUGCAUUAGCUAGUUGGUAAGGUAACGGCUUACCAAGGCAAUGAUGCAUAGCCGAGUUGAGAGACUGAUCGGCCACAUUGGGACUGAGACACGGCCCAAACUCCUACGGGAGGCAGCAGUAGGGAAUCUUCCACAAUGGACGAAAGUCUGAUGGAGCAACGCCGCGUGAGUGAAGAAGGGUUUCGGCUCGUAAAGCUCUGUUGGUAGUGAAGAAAGGUAGAGGUAGUAACUGGCCUUUAUUUGACGGUAAUUACUUAGAAAGUCACGGCUAACUACGUGCCAGCAGCCGCGGUAAUACGUAGGUGGCAAGCGUUGUCCGGAUUUAUUGGGCGUAAAGCGAGUGCAGGCGGUUCAAUAAGUCUGAUGUGAAAGCCUUCGGCUCAACCGGAGAAUUGCAUCAGAAACUGUUGAACUUGAGUGCAGAAGAGGAGAGUGGAACUCCAUGUGUAGCGGUGGAAUGCGUAGAUAUAUGGAAGAACACCAGUGGCGAAGGCGGCUCUCUGGUCUGCAACUGACGCUGAGGCUCGAAAGCAUGGGUAGCGAACAGGAUUAGAUACCCUGGUAGUCCAUGCCGUAAACG
rnacentral:rRNA from 1 species